rnacentral:rRNA from 1 species
GACGAACCGUGCGAACGUUAUUCGGAAUCACUGGGCUUAAAGCGUGUGUAGGCGGAUCGUUAAGUGCAUCGGUGAAAUCCCACGGCUCAACCGUGGAACUGCUGGGCAUACUGGCGAUCUUGAGCGGCCUAGGGGCAGGUGGAACAAGUGGUGGAGCGGUGAAAUGCGUAGAUAUCGUCAGGAACGCCAAUGGUGAAGACAGGUGACUGGGCUAGUUCUGACACUGAGGCACGAAAGCGUGGGGAGCGAACGGG